ACGAGUGCCCUUAAUCCAAGAAAGCAAUGAUCACCAUCUCACCCCCUACCCACACUAUGCCAUGCCAUGAAGAAAAUCAUGCAAUGAAUUACUACAAAGGGGCUCAGCCCUGACAUCACUUGGGCUAAGCCAUCAAACAUAAGGUUUCAUAAAUUGGGCAAAAUCAAAAAAUUUUGAAAAAUUUUUAUCAGAGAAAGCAAUAGGCAGGGAAAGAAAAAGAUCCCAGAACUUCCUUUCUCUCACAUUCUCAUUUUCCUGCUUUUUGUGUUAAUGCCCGCCCUCUCAAGACCUCUUUCCCAUGCAAAUUUGAUAUAUCUAUCGCUGAGGCAAGAAAACAAGAGAAAGUGAGUGUAAAGAAAAGAAAUCAAGAAUACACUUGGUGGCUGUUUUUCAUUUUCUUUCCCUUGAGACAUUGAUCUCUGUUUUAAGCUGAUACUGAUUGAAUCCUCAUCUGAUUCUCCAAAUUCUCAAACCAUUAUUCGGAGAGAUUGAGGGGAAAGAUUAUAUUUUCUGAGAAACAGAAGAAGAAAUGGGCAUUAAAUUGUUGGAGAUUGGGAUUAAAAUGAGGAAAGGUGUGAUCUUUACGAUCAGAGGCUGUUUUAGAUCAGUUUGCAAUCAUCCAUUCCUUGUGGGCAUACUGUUUCUCUUGGCAUUUCUGUUCAGAUAUUUUCCUUUUGUUUUCUCAUUGUUGGUG